rnacentral:sRNA from 1 species
AAAAAAAACACCAAAAGCUCUCUUGUAACUUUUUUUUGAAAUCUAAUCAUUAAAAUGGAAAAAACCCAUAAAAACGCUCUAAAAGAAUGGAAAAAUUCUCUUCGUUUGAGAUGUUCUAAAGGAGUUUUUUUUUAGAAGAAAAGAAAGAUAUGGAAGAAACAA